UACAGAGGGUGCGAGCGUUGUUCGGAAUUAUUGGGCGUAAAGGGCGCGUAGGCGGUGCGGUAAGUCACCUGUGAAAUCUCCUGGCUCAACUGGGAGCUUGCAGGCGAAACUGCCGUGCUGGAGUGUGGGAGAGGUGAGUGGAAUUCCCGGUGUAGCGGUGAAAUGCGUAGAUAUCCGGAAGAACACCGGUGGCGAAGGCGGCCUGCUGGGCAGUUGCUGACACUGAGGCGCGACAGCGUGGGGGAGCAAACAGG
rnacentral:rRNA from 1 species